GAUGAACGCUGGCGGCGUGCCUAAUACAUGCAAGUCGAGCGAACAGACGAGGAGCUUGCUCCUCUGACGUUAGCGGCGGACGGGUGAGUAACACGUGGAUAACCUACCUAUAAGACUGGGAUAACUUCGGGAAACCGGAGCUAAUACCGGAUAAUAUAUUGAACCGCAUGGUUCAAUAGUGAAAGACGGUUUUGCUGUCACUUAUAGAUGGAUCCGCGCCGCAUUAGCUAGUUGGUAAGGUAACGGCUUACCAAGGCAACGAUGCGUAGCCGACCUGAGAGGGUGAUCGGCCACACUGGAACUGAGACACGUCCCAGACUCCUACGGAGGCAGCAGUAGGGAAUCUUCCGCAAUGGGCGAAAGCCUGACGGAGCAACGCCGCGUGAGUGAUGAAGGUCUUCGGAUCGUAAAACUCUGUUAUUAGGGAAGAACAAAUGUGUAAGUAACUAUGCACGUCUUGACGGUACCUAAUCAGAAAGCCACGGCUAACUACGUG
rnacentral:rRNA from 1 species